rnacentral:rRNA from 1 species
AACGAACGCUGGCGGCAGGCCUAACACAUGCAAGUCGAGCGAGACCUUCGGGUCUAGCGGCAGACGGGUGAGUAACGCGUGGGAACGUGCCCUUUUCUACGGAAUAGCCUCGGGAAACUGAGCGUAAUACCGUAUACGCCCUUUGGGGGAAAGAUUUAUCGGAGAAGGAUCGGCCCGCGUUGGAUUAGGUAGUUGGUGGGGUAAUGGCCUACCAAGCCUACGAUCCAUAGCUGGUUUGAGAGGAUGAUCAGCCACACUGGGACUGAGACACGGCCCAGACUCCUACGGGAGGCAGCAGUGGGGAAUCUUAGACAAUGGGGGCAACCCUGAUCUAGCCAUGCCGCGUGAGUGAUGAAGGCCUUAGGGUUGUAAAGCUCUUUCAGCUGGGAAGAUAAUGACGGUACCAGCAGAAGAAGCCCCGGCUAACUCCGUG